UAUUCGCGGGGUAGGGGAGCGUUCUGUAAGCGGUUGAAGGUGUACCGGGAGGUAUGCUGGACGUAUCAGAAGUGCGAAUGCUGACAUGAGUAACGAUAAGAGGAGUGAAAAACUCCUCCGCCGGAAGACCAAGGGUUCCUAUCCCAUGUUAAUCAGGGUAGGGUAAGUCGACCCCUAAGGCGAGGCUGAAGAGCGUAGUCGAUGGGAAACGGGUUAAUAUUCCCGUACUUGGAAUAAUUGCGAUGGGGGGACGGAGCAGGCUAAGUAAGCAUGGCGUUGGUUGUCCAUGUGAAAGUGUGUAGGCUGAGAACUUAGGAAAAUCCGGGUUCUUAAGGCUGAGACACGAGACGAGCAUCUACGGAUGUGAAGUUACUGAUGCCCUACUUCCAGGAAAAGCCUCUAAGCUUCAGAUUAUUUCGAAUCGUACCCCAAACCGACACAGGUGGUCAGGUAGAGAAUACUAAGGCGCUUGAGAGAACUCGGGUGAAGGAACUAGGCAAAAUUGUACCGUAACUUCGGGAGAAGGUACGCUGACAUUAGGUGAAGAGCUUCGCGCUUGGAGCUGAAGUCAGCCGCAGUGACCAGGUGGCUGGGACUGUUUAUUAAAAACACAGCACUGUGCAAAAUCGUAAGAUGACGUAUACGGUGUGACACCUGCCCGGUGCCGGAAGGUUAAUUGAUGGGGUUAGACUUAGGUCGAAGCUCUUGAUCGAAGCCCCGGUAAACGGCGGCCGUAACUAUAACGGUCCUAAGGUAGCGAAAUUCCUUGUCGGGUAAGUUCCGACCUGCACGAAUGGUGUAACCAUGGCCACGCUGUCUCCACCCGAGACUCAGUGAAAUUGAAAUCGCAGUGAAGAUGCUGUGUACCCGCGGCUAGACGGAAAGACCCCGUGAACCUUUACUACAGCUUGGCACUGAACAUUGACCCUACAUGUGUAGGAUAGGUGGGAGGCUUUGAAGCGCAGACGCUAGUUUGUGUGGAGCCGUCCUUGAAAUACCACCCUUGUAGUGUUGAUGUUCUAACUUAGGCCCCUAAUCGGGGUUGAGGACAGUGCCUGGUGGGUAGUUUGACUGGGGCGGUCUCCUCCCAAAGAGUAACGGAGGAGCACGAAGGUUGGCUAAGUACGGUCGGACAUCGUACGGUUAGUGUAAUGGUAGAAGCCAGCUUAACUGCGAGACAGACACGUCGAGCAGGUACGAAAGUAGGUCAUAGUGAUCCGGUGGUUCUGAAUGGAAGGGCCAUCGCUCAACGGAUAAAAGGUACUCCGGGGAUAACAGGCUGAUACCGCCCAAGAGUUCAUAUCGACGGCGGUGUUUGGCACCUCGAUGUCGGCUCAUCACAUCCUGGGGCUGAAGUCGGUCCCAAGGGUAUGGCUGUUCGCCAUUUAAAGUGGUACGCGAGCUGGGUUUAGAACGUCGUGAGACAGUUCGGUCCCUAUCUGCCGUGGGCGUUUGAGAAUUGAGAGGGGCUGCUCCUAGUACGAGAGGACCGGAGUGGACGAACCGCUGGUGUUCGGGUUGUGAUGCCAAUUGCAUUGCCCGGUAGCUACGUUCGGAAUCGAUAACCGCUGAAAGCAUCUAAGCGGGAAGCGAGCCUCGAGAUGAGUUCUCACUUUAACUUUAAGUUAACUGAAGGGCCGUUGAAGACUACAACGUUGAUAGGCUGGGUGUGGAAGUGUAGUGAUACAUUAAGCUAACCAGUACUAAUUACCCGUGAGGCUUAACCAUACAACGCCAAAGUGGUUU
rnacentral:rRNA from 2 species